rnacentral:rRNA from 1 species
ACGGAAGGCAGCAGUAGGGAAUUUUCAGCAAUGGGGGAAACCCUGACCGAGCAAUGCCGCGUGAAUGAUGAAGUUCUUCGGAAUGUAAAAUUCUGUUAUUAGGGACGAAAGCUAGAUAUAGGAAAUGAUAUUUAGUUGACGGUACCUUUUGAGAAAGCCCCGGCUAACUAUGUGCCAGCAGCCGCGGUAAUACAUAGGGGGCAAGCGUUAUCCGGAUUUAUUGGGCGUAAAGAGUGCGUAGGUGGCUUUUUAAGUCUGCCGUGAAAGCCCGCAGCUUAACUGCGGAGGGUCGGUGGAAACUGGGAAGCUUGAAUGCAGAAGAGGUAAGUGGAAUUCCAUGUGUAGCGGUAAAAUGCUUAGAUAUAUGGAGGAACACCAGUGGCGAAGGCGGCUUACUGGUCUGUUAUUGACACUGAGGCACGAAAGCGUGGGGAGCAAACAGGAUUAGAUACCCUGGUA